CUACGUGCCAGCAGCCGCGGUAAUACGUAGGGCGCGAGCGUUGUCCGGAAUUAUUGGGCGUAAAGAGCUUGUAGGCGGUUUGUCGCGUCUGCUGUGAAAGGCCGGAGCUUAACUCCGUGUAUUGCAAUGGGUACGGGCAGACUAGAGUGCAGUAGGGGAGACUGGAAUUCCUGGUGUAGCGGUGGAAUGCGCAGAUAUCAGGAGGAACACCGAUGGCGAAGGCAGGUCUCUGGGCUGUAACUGACGCUGAGAAGCGAAAGCAUGGGGAGCGAACAGGAUUAGAUACCCUGGUAGUCCAUGCCGUAAACGUUGGGCACUAGGUGUGGGGAACAUUCCACGUUUUCCGCGCCGUAGCUAACGCAUUAAGUGCCCCGCCUGGGGAGUACGGCCGCAAGGCUAAAACUCAAAUGAAUUGACGGGGGCCCGCACAAGCGGUGGAGUAUGUGGUUUAAUUCGACGCAACGCGAAGAACCUUACCAGGUCUUGACAU
rnacentral:rRNA from 1 species